rnacentral:rRNA from 1 species
UACGUAGGGCGCAAGCGUUGUCCGGAAUUAUUGGGCGUAAAGAGCUUGUAGGCGGUUUGUCGCGUCUGCCGUGAAAAUUCGAGGCUCAACCUCGAACUUGCGGUGGGUACGGGCAGACUAGAGUGUGGUAGGGGAGACUGGAAUUCCUGGUGUAGCGGUGAAAUGCGCAGAUAUCAGGAGGAACACCGGUGGCGAAGGCGGGUCUCUGGGCCGAUACUGACGCUGAGGAGCGAAAGCGUGGGGAGCGAACAGG